rnacentral:rRNA from 1 species
GACGAACGCUGGCGGCGUGCUUAACACAUGCAAGUCGAACGGAAAGGCCCCUUUGGGGGUACUCGAGUGGCGAACGGGUGAGUAACACGUGAGUAACCUGCCCUUGACUUCGGGAUAACUUCAGGAAACUGGGGCUAAUACCGGAUAGGAAUCCUUGCUGCAUGGUGGGGGUUGGAAAGCUUCGGCGGUUUUGGAUGGACUCGCGGCUUAUCAGCUUGUUGGUGGGGUAGUGGCUUACCAAGGCUUUGACGGGUAGCCGGCCUGAGAGGGCGACCGGCCACAUUGGGACUGAGAUACGGCCCAGACUCCUACGGGAGGCAGCAGUGGGGAAUAUUGCACAAUGGGCGGAAGCCUAAUGCAGCAACGCCGCGUGCGGGAUGACGGCCUUCGGGUUGUAAACCGCUUUCAGCAGGGGCGAAGCUUGUGGUGACGGUACCUGCAGAAGAAGCACCGGCUAACUACGUG